rnacentral:lncRNA from 1 species
UGGGUACACAGUAGGUGUAUAUAUUUAUGGGGUGCAUGAGAUAUUUUGAUACAGGCUUGCAAUGUGUAAUAAUCACAUCAGGGUAAAUGGGGUAUCCAUCACAUCAAGCAUUUAUUAUUUCUUUGUGUUACAUACAUUCCAAUUACACUCUUUUACUUAUUUAAAAAUGUACAAUAAGUUUUUGUUGACUGUAAUCACCCUGUUAUGCUAUCAAAUGCUAAAUCUUAUUCAUUCUAUGCCACUGUAUUUUUGUACCCAUUAACCAUCUGCCCCUUCCACACCUCCCUACCCCCACCCCACUACCCUUCCCAGCCUCUGGUAACCAUCAUUCCACUCUCUAUCUCCAUGAGUUCAAUUGUUUUAAUGUUUAGCUCCCACAAAUGAGUGAGAAAAUGCAAAGUUUGUCUUUCCAUGCCUGGCUUAUUUCACUUAACAAACAUAAUGUCCUCCAGUUUCUUCCAUGUUGCAGAUGACAAGAUCUUAUUCUUUUUAUGGCUGAAUUGUGUGUAUGUACCACAUUUUCUUUAUCAUUCGUCUGUUGUGGACACUUAGGUUGCUUCCAAAUCUUGGCUAUUGUGCAAUAAAUAUGGGAGUGCAGUGUCUCUUGAUAAGCUUGUGGCAAGGGAAGCAUCUGCAGGUCCCUUUGGUUUCAGCAGGGGUUGAAAAGUGUUAGAAAGGACAACGUGUUUCAUGGAGUAGAAAGAGAAAUAUAGAGACGGUCUCUGAUCAGCAAUCAUUCUAUUAGGGUGGGAAUUUUGGAAGCAGGGAGACUUUCUGAUCGGUCUUCGAGGAUGCUGGGCAGACCUUUGGCAAGUGGGCAAGCGAGCAGUAUGGGACAUUUCAUGUUAGGGGUGGACAUUUUUCUGUAGCUGGCCAUUUCCUGAAAUAAGUAGGGGUUGACAGAGUGCUUUUUCUUUUUCUGUCAAACUGUCAUUAUGGGGUGCAGGGUGGAGGGGCUGUCACAGCGUCAGUUUGUCAGCAGAGAUCUAGACCAGAAGGUCCCCUGGCCAGGGAGCUGGAAGACUAGUGUUCUAGGCUCGGCUAGUCAUCAACUGGAUAGGUCCCUGGACCUGUUUAUUGUCUGUACAUUGAAGGUGCAGGACCACCCAAGAAUGUCCAAAUGCUGACCCUUGGGCCAAAUCCAACCUGCAAUUGUGUUUUCUUUGGGCUACAAAUUAUUAUUAACAUUUUUAUUUGCAUAUCUUUAGGAAGGGUGCGCACUCUCCGACCUACAGUCCCUCUGCUCAAUACCAGCCCAGUUCCCGCCUUUAGGGAACCUGCUCUGUCCCUGUAGCCAUCUGGGUCUGCAGCCUGGGAACUAGAUGACAUUAGUGCCUUCCUGGCACUGGCCUUCUGUGGUCCCGCCAUUCUCAAUGGCACUGUCUCACUUUCCAUGCCUUCCUCAGUCACUGCACACUGCCCUACACAAAUAUUUGACAGGCCAGCCUCUUGAGUCAAUUAUUCCUUUCAGAAAACUGGAGAGAGAAAUGAUAUAAUUAACCACCUGAGAGAAAAUGAACAGAGCGAGAAGCUAUAAAUACCAAGACCCACAAUGAAGGGCGGAACCCCGGGGCCCCACUUGACCUUACCCAGCUGAGAUGGUCUGACACCUUCCUGGGUGUAGGAGACCCGUGGGGCCAAGCUUGGCUGGGACUUACAGCCAUGGCUUUCACACAGCAGGGUGAGAAGCAGCCCCCGAGACCCCAGGCUGAGCAGGCCAGGAAGCAACACCCCACACCCCUCUCCCCCAUGUAGCCAGGAUCAGAAUCAACACCCUUGAAGGGUAAAUCCUUUCCUCAUGCACUUGUGCCCAGGAAGCAGAUGUUCUGUCCCUACUCUGGGGUCUGGGCACUGUUGUGUAGUUGGAUCCUUCCACCCUAUCCUCAAACCACAGACCAGAUAAAUCGAAUUGAACCGACUUCAAAGCAAACACUGAGCGGAGCCAUCUGGGAUUCAUUCCUGAACCGGCCCUUUUCUAGUUAUGUAACCACAGAGAUGCAGACAGAAAGACACAGAUUGGGAGAACUGGUUUUUGUUGUUGUUGUUGUUGUUAAACCUCCAAAUCUUUGCAGUAUUGGGAUAAUUAUGGCUUUCAUAGCAUUGAUUACUUUAAGCUGUCAGUAAUUUGAAUCCUUUUCAGAGUCAGUGACCAACAUUUUGCAAUUGAAUUCUAUCUUCCUGCUUCCAUUCUGAGUAAAGGAAAUAGAAUGCUGAGCUCAUAGGGCCUUCUUCAGAAUGCCACAUGCUGGGCACUUUGUGGUCACACCUAGAAUGCUACAAUGGACACAUCUCCUAGGCAUCCUCCUGGGUUCAUUACACACUUCCUUCCCACGCCAUAGUCUCAUUCUGGAAUGUUCAUUAAUCUCCUACCUGAAAGAGCAAGAAGAAAUAUGAAAUUUUAGAUAGGCCAGGGCUUUUGAUGUGAAUCAUUCAUGAAUCACCCAAAACAUUGUGGUUCAUGGAUAAAAGGCAAAGGCAAAUACUGGAUACUUUAAGAAGCUAUACUGCCUACAUCUAUGCAAUUUUUAAACAUUUUAUUUUCUGAUUUAAAAGUAAUACCUCUCCAAUGUGAAAAUUCUAAAAAUUCUGAGGACUAUGGAGAAGAAAAUAAUUGUUCCAAAUCGUUGCUGGGGAGGAUUAUUCAAACAAUAAUUGAUGCUAAUAUUUUAGCACAUUUUUCCCCAGUUUUCGAUUCAUGCAUAUUUACAUUUCUAGAACUAAGGCUAUAUUGCGUUUAUAAUUGUGUCCUAUAUUUUUACUGAAACAUUUUCCACAUAGUAAAAAACUUUAUAACCUUAGUUUUCAGUAGCUACAUAAUUUCAAAUAAAAUAAAUGUACCUUUUUUUUUUUUUUUUUUUUUUUUAGACAGCGUCUUACUCUGUCACCAGGCUGGAGUGCAGUGGCGUGAUCUCAGCUCACUGCAACCUCCACCUCACGGUUGAAGUGAUUCUUCUGCCUCAGCCUCCUGAGUAGCUGGGACUACAGGCAUGCACCACCACGCCUGGCUAAUUUUUGUAUUUUUGGAACAGACGGGAUUUCACCAUGUUGGCCAUGAUGGUUUCGAUCCCUUGACCUCAUGAUCCAACUGCCUUGGCCUCCCAAAGUGCUGGGAUUACAGGCAUGAGCCACCGUGCUCGGCCCAUAACUUUUUUUAAAAACAAAUCCCUUAUUGUUGGACCAAAGGUUGUGUCUAAUGUUUGGCUACUGUAAAUGCUGUAGUGAAUAUCUUUAGCUAUAAAUUUCUAUCUGCAUUUCUCAUUACUUUCAUCAGAUCUAUUCCUAGAAGUAUAAUCAACUCUGCAUCAAAGAUCAAAAUUUUUGAAUGUUCUUAAUACAUUUCAGAAGGAUUGAACCACCUUUUCACCAUUAAGUAUCAAUGUUUUCUAAAACCUUACUAUUUUGAUAAAUAAAAAAUAGAAUUUUAUAUUUGUAUUAAUUUGCUUUUCUUUAGAUACCAGUUAAAAUAAUUAUUUUUCCACAUCUUUAUUAACAAUUUUUAAUUUAGCCUAUGAACUGAGGUUAAGGCUGAUUAUGCAAGUUCAUGUGCAAAGAUGUUCUCAUCUCAGGGCAGACCAUCUGAUGACAAGAGUGGUAAAGGGCCAAGAAGAAGCUUAGCUGAGCUAGGACAUCCAGAGGAGGAAUAAGUGUGGGGUGAUCCCCAUUCCUGGUUAUAUUGGUUAUCUUGCUGCAUAACAAACUACCAUUAAAACUGAAUGGUUUCAAAUAACAAACAUUUAUUAUCUCACAGUUUCUGUAGGUCAGAAAUUCAGGAGCAGUUUAGCUAGUGCUUCUGUCUUGGGGUCUCUUGGAAGGUUUCAGUGAAGAUAUUGGCUGGGGCUGCAGUCAUCUGAAGGCUUGGCUGAGGCUUGGAGGAGCCACUUCUUAGAUGACGAACUCACAUGGCUGUUGGCAGGAGGCCUCAGUUCCUUACCAUCUGGGCCUCUCCACAGAGCAGCUCACAAUAUGGCUGAUGGCUUCUCCCAGAAUGAGUGAUUAGAGAGAUAGAUUGCUCUACUUAUAGGUUAAUAGGUUAAUAUAUCUGUACCUUUUAUAAUUAAAUCUUGAAAGUGACAUACCAACACUUCUGCCAUAUUCUAUUGGCCGUACAGAAUCAAUCUAUUAUAACAUGGAAGGGAAGCAUACAACAGUUGUGAAGACCAGCAGGUGAACACCACCAGAGGCCAUCUUGAAAGCUGGCUCCCACACUGGCUAUGAGUUUUCACUACUUUUUUUUUGAGGAGAAGAGGGAAUUAUGAGCAGAUAGCAGAAACUCUAUCACUGCUUACAAUAUGCUCAAGUUAACCAUACAUAACACCAUUCUCAUCAUGAGGCUAAAGUCAGCCAUUUCUUUUUGUCUCCAUAAAACCUGCAAUUAAAAGACCAUAGCAAAAGAUUUUCAGAUAGAAAUCUGGACUGGGUGUCCAACGCAGUUCAGAUCCUGGUGUCUGGUUGGGACUGGUGGUGGUGGCAAUAAAUUCAAGCAGGCACUACCAUGCAGAAGCUGCCUGAGCCCAUCAAUCCCAUGUUCAGGUGCUUCAAGCUCUGUGGUAUGAAAGGUCUGGUGGCAAAUGUGGAGGGUGUACAGGGAGAAGAAAACUGCUGGACCAUGGCUCAGGGGCCCCACAGGUGGGACAGAAACCUUAGGAGAGGUUUGCUUUUUUUUUUAAAUAAAAGUGGGUGAGUAAAUACAAGAAACCUCAAUCCUGGAAGAGGGGCUUGAGGCUAGGAGAGGACAGGAAAUAGGGUGUCACAGGUAAGAAAUAUGUUCUUACUAGAACCUUUGAAUCUAAAAAUAUAUGUGUCAGUGGGCAUGAUCAUUAAUAUGUAUGACUAUUACCAAAAUAUGUUGUUGGCACCCAUGCUAAUUUUAGAUGCUGCAGAAUUAACCAAAUGAGCUCUUCUCUUUUCUCUCCACAUCCUCUCCCUUGACAUUUUAAUCAAUCUUGUGACUUCAUCUAUAUUUUUCGUGUGGUUGAAUCCUAAAUUUGUAUUUCCAACCUUGCCAUUUUUUCGCUACCACAUUUCCAACUUCCUGCAUGACAUCGCAGCCUGGUUGACUCGUCAGCACUUCAAACUUAGUAUGUACAGAACAGAAAGUAUCUUCCCUCUGAAAACCGCUCCUUCUCCCAUACUCCUUAUUUUGAUAAAGGCACCAUCAGGCAUCUAAUUUUGAGACUCAAGAUGGAGAAAGUAAAUCUAUUACGUAGAUAAAGGGUUUCCUAUCACGAGUAAUUUAAAAAAUUCAUGUCUGAGUAGAAGUGGGCAGCCAGCAACAAGCAAGCUGAAUAAAUGUGUUCAUUCAACAAAUAUUUAUUAAGCACCUAUUAUGUUCCAGAAGGCACAGUUUUAGGCAUUGGAGCUUACUGAUAAAUAAAUCAGGCAAGAGUCUCUGGCUUCAUGGAGCUUCAUUCUAGAGGUGCUAGACCUCUGAGUUUGGCCUAGGAGUAGCAAAUUGUACCCUCUUACCAGACCAUCAGGUCAAAUCAAAAGAGACAGAUUGCUCUGCUCUGUCCUACUAUGAGCUAAAGGGUGUUCUGCUAUUAGCACUGGGUUCUGGAGUAUCAGGCAAAAAGUGACAUCAUAGAGGAUGGCAAGAAGUGACAAGAGCCCAAAGAAUGUGACUAAGCAAGUGUGGCAGGCUGCAUAAUGACCCCUGAAAGAUGUUCUUGUCCUAAUCCCAGAGUUUGUGAUUAUGUACUCAAACGGGGCUUUGUAGCUGUGAUUAAGGAUCUUGAGAUGAUGAGGUGAAUUCAAUGUAAGCACAAGGCAGAGGAAGGCAAGAUUAAACAAAGAAAGAUGAGAUGGGAUGAUGAAAGAAGAGGUUGUGGUUAUGCACUUUGAAGAUGGAGGAAAGGGCCAUGAGCCAAGGAAUGCUGACAGCUUCUAGAAGCUGAAAAAUUCCAGAUUCUUCUCUGGAGAAUAUAGGCCUGCCAACCAAAACCUUGAUUUUAUUUAUUUAUUUAUUUUUCUUCUUUUUCUUUUAUUUUCAGUUGACAUGUAAUAAUUGUGCAUAUUUACUGAAUACAGAGGGAUAUUUCUAUCCAUGUAUAUAUACCAUGUGUAAUGAUCAAAUCAGAGUAAUCAACAUGUCUCCUAGCAAUAAACACAUCUCCUGGUAAUAAACGCUUACCAUUUCUUUGAAACACCUGCAUUUUAGAUUCAUUUCAGACUUCUGUCCUCCAGAACUAUAAAAUAAAUUUGUGUUGUUUAAGCCACUAAGUUCGUGGUAAUUUGUUACAGAAGCAAUAGGGUACUACUAGUACAGCAAGCCAGCAGGUUGGCUUGCUACGAUUCCAUAGGUAUCCAAAGUAGAUAGUGAGACUCAAGUCAGUUUAUUAUCCACAACACAGCAAACUGGAGGAACAUCAGUAAUAGAGGUGAUUCCCUAUCCCCAAGUUCCACAGGAGACAUGAUAGGCACAGAGGGCAACCAUGCACACAGUGGAUUAUGCCACAGCUAAGGAAUCCAGGGCCAAGAACUCAGCACCUUUUACAUCAUGCAGUGAACAACUCAAUUGCCCUCCACCGGGGAGUGAGUGUUCAGCACAGCAGUCUUGCUAUGGUCACCUUGACCUGCUUAAUGGUCCACAUGACUAAUUGCAAUAAAGGCUCAGGGUGAGAAGGCUGCUAGGUCUUGCAGUUUGGCACUCUCAGCAGGGGCGUGCAGGGAUGCUUGGGGCUCAUAUGGGGCUGCUUCUUCCCACAGGCAGCUCUCCCAACCUCAGCCUAGCCCUACCAGGCUCUAGAAACUGCCUUGAUUCACCUAGGAGAGGUUCAUUUUCAGACCCCAGCAAAUGCUUCUUUGUCUUCCAAGCAGUUCAUUUUGGCUGCCAGAACCUGAAAAGUUCUUGCCCAAGGUUGAGAAUUAGACAGAGAUGUUCCCACAUGGGGCUGUACAAAUGCCCACACAGUCUACUGUGGGCCAAGCAAGGUCAGCACGCAGUUGUAAAUGCUACCCUGACAAAGCCAGCAAGUUACUGGAGCUGAGCCUCAAUAGAAUCUUUGUACAGUACAGCUGGUCGCUUAACUCUAGGUGCCCAUGGGAGACCUGGAGGACAGAUUAACCAGGCCAGCAGCCUCAGGGGAGGGACUGAGGCUCAGCCUCUUUGUCAUAACCAAUCAGGUGUGAGGGAGGAAGAUAGCAUUAAGAAAUAGCCUCCCGGAUAUUUCUUUUAGUACAGAAUUUGAAUUUACUCCUAAGAGGAAGCUACUGGGGCCUGAGCAGUGAUUGCCAUUGAUUCCAGGGCUCUGGGAGCUAAGAUUCUAGGCAAUAAAGGACUUAAGUGUGUGCAUGUGUGUAUAAACCCUUGGCAUGGAAAAAAUAUGAAAAAAGAAGAUCCAGAGGCAUUUCUUAUUUUACUCUAAGACAGUCCAUUUGAAGAUGACCCUUAUUCCAGAAUACUAUCCAAGCCAGGACAACAGUUUCUCCGCAGUGUUUGAGAACAGGCUCCCUUCCUGCCAAGGCAUGAUUUUUCUGGUGGUUGGUGGUAUGAUUUAGGGAUAACUUGGUGGUACAAUGGAGAUUACAAAUCCCUUCACUAGACAUUAAAGAACUACAUCUAUAUUGUAUUCACAUAUCAAUGAUAUUCAAACAAAGCAACAGGAAACAAGAUAUAUUCUAGUCUAAACUCAAAGAUAAGAACAUCUUUUGGUUUCAAAAACAUAUGUAGUAAAGCCCUAUUAGGUAAUAUAUUUAUUUAACUAAAUUUUAGAAUUUAGUGUAAACUACUCCCAUGGAAGAUUUGCAAUCAGAUGUUUCAGCCAGUAACUAAAAUGUGCAUUCCCCAAAGGUUCAAGAGGUAGGCGACAGACACUCACAAUGAGACACUGAGUACCGAGGCAGGGAAGUCAGCCGUGUAGGCAGGGACUCCUUUUCUGCUGCCUCCUAACACCCAGAACAGUGCCAGGUAUACAGUAAAGACUCAGUAAAUGUUUGUUGAAUGGAUUAAUGAGCAAAAGACAUCCUCUUCUUUGAAGGCUGGCCUAGACACUGUUCUAGCACAUGAAUGUAAAAAUCUCACUAAGAAAAAUAGCAAAUUGAAAAAUAAUAUUUAUCAUAUGAUACAUGUUUUGCUUAAUGAAAAAAAUCUCACCUGGCACAGUGGAUCAUGCCUGUAAUCCCAGGACUUCGGGACGCUAAGGUGGGUGGAUCUCUUGAGGCCAGGAGUUUGAGAUCAGCCUGGGCAACAUGACGAAACCCCAUCUCCACAAAAAGUUUAAACAAUAGCCAGGCACGGUGGCACACACCUGUGGUCCUAGCUACUCGGGAGGCUGAGGUGGGAGGAUCACUUGAGCCCACAGAAUUUGAGGCUUCAGUGAGCUGUGAUCUCACCACUGGACUCAAGCAUGGGCUGCAGAGUAAGACCCUGUUUCCAAAACAACAACAACAACAAAAAAAAAAAACCCCAACUCUGUACAUUUAGAAGUGCACAGAAAAAAGUGCUACUGAAAGGUUAUACUUUGCACUGUUAACCACGGCUACCUCUGAAGACUGGCACUGACUUAGGUAAGAGUCCUACCACAUUUUGCAUAAUUUAUGCAUUUCUGCAUUGUUUAACCUGGUAAAAUAAGUUUGUAUUACUUUCAUUGGUUAGAAAAUCAAGAUUUUUUUUCAGACCUCACUUAAAUAAUACUCUCUAAUAUGUGAUUUGAUGGAAAAGAAUGUUAACUUUUUAUUAAAAGAGAAAUCAAAGUUUAGAACAGUUCAUCAUUUCUGAAGGUCAAGAUAAUCUCCUAACUUCUGAUCAAAUGGAUCUCUAUCCACCAGGCCAGUGGUAAGUUAUUUUCUAAAAUGCUAUUUUAAAAAGCUAGUAGAAUGUUAAGAACUUCAUUAGGUUCAAUAUUUAUUUAUUCAAUCAAUAUUUAUUGAGUGCUAUGCUUACCUUAUGGGCUUUUCUGUAAAACAGGGAUUGUAGUACAAAGUGUAAUAUGGUGGAAAGAAGUCGGGGUUCUAUGUGGAUUUUUUUAAAGUCAAUUCCUGUCAGAAUUGGAAUCUCAGACUGUGGCAUUUCCUUGUCAAGGCUGAUUGUUACAGCUUAUUGUUCAUCUCAGUACUUUAUUUCCAUUCCAUCUCAUGGGUAGAAUGUCCAUGUAACAGGAUGUGGUCAUAUGAUGUUUCUCCUGUAAACUUAUCAUAACUGCAACUGUAGAUACACAACAAUCCAUACACUCAAUGAAAAUAAACUUUCCAAUGAGGGCUCAAACUAACCACCUUCGAGAAUUGCUCUUUCUGAUUGUAUUUUAAGGCCAUUAAAAUAUUUGUUUAGUGAUUUAUUCUUCCUGUAGACAGAUGUAGGUAUCGGUCUAUUUUUCACAUUACAGUGGAGUUUUCUUUUUAAAUAUUCUCCUUGGCCUUGCGGUGAAAUGCGCAAUAUGAUACUUCCUCAUAGUGACACACGUAAAAGCGCUAUUCAUCAAACAGUAUUUUCAAGCAUACUUCUCGUUAUUCUUUCAAGUACAUAAACAUAGAAAAACCCUUUACUCUCUUCAUAAUAGAAAAAGAACCGAAGAUGUGGUACAAUUCCUGACAUGCAUGUACUUGGAUCUUAAGAACAGAGCUACCAUAUUUCCCAUAAAGUUCUCUCUUGGUCUCUCUCCUUCUCUUCCCACACCAACUGCAUAACUGUAUUUGGCCCACAGCUAAAUCAAGGUAAAUGAGACAUGACCUAUUAAAAAGGAAAUGAAUAAUUCCAGUGAGGGGAAAAUUGCAUUCCUGACCAGAAGCAUGGAAGUCAUGGCUUGGAUGUAUAGGUUUACUCUACCACUUUGCUAGAUGAUUUUGCUUUUUGGGUGGCAUGUCUUCCAUCAUCAAAAUUACCUUAUGUAGUCAGCAAAAUAAGUCAAAUCAUGUUGUGGUGCUAUCUACUUUAAUUUUUUUCAAGGUUCUUUCUAAUGGAUUCUUUUAAAUUAAUGGAUGCGUAUAUAGCACUCCUUUUGGAAUAUUUCUAAUUAAAUUCUCUAGAACUCGAUUUAAAUCAGGACUUAAAUGAUCUGCAUGAACAGGCACAUGGGUCAGGGCUUUGUGCAUAAAACUAUCAGUAGAAUUCCUCAUGUCUUCUGAAUGCCAGUGGAGCCAGCCUUGUCCCAACUGUGUGGAUGUGGAGGAGGAGGUGGGGUUUGAGAAAGAGCUUAUUAAGAGCCUGGCAUUUAUAGAAUUAGUAAAAUGCCAGAGAUUAUGUCUGAAAAUAGAGUUUGCAAAUUGGAAGUGUCACGUGAGCAUUCAAUGUUAAUAAUUAUCUUCAUUAUAAUCAAGAUUAAGGUGGCUUAUCUGGACUUCUUGUUCACAUAAAGAUGUUUGCUUUAGAAAUAUGCCUGCUAAUUACUAAGCUCUGAAUUAUAGGUCUGAGAUACAUUUGAAUUUACUCUCUCUACUUUUUUAAUGAUUAAAAACAACAUAACAGCUUUUCAGGCAAUUCAUAUCACCCCUAAACUGGAAACAACUCUAAUGUCCAGCCAGAGAAGAGUGGAUGAGCAAAUUACGGUACAUUCAUAUAAUGGAAUACUACUCGGCAAUAGAAAAGAACUAACUACUGAUACACAUAGCAACACAAGUGAAUCUCAAAAACAUGCUGAUUUAUUAAAAAAAAACAGAUACAAAAGAGUACAUACUGCAUGAUUCCAUUUAUAUGAGAUCCUAGAGUAGGCAAAACCAACCUAUAAUGACAGAGGGCAGAUUGGGGUUGCUUGGGGCCAGGGUGGGGAAUUGCCAGCAAAGGGGCACAAGGGAAUUUCUGAUUGAUGAGAAUGUUCUAUAUCAUGAUUGUGGAAGUGGUCCUGAGGGUGCACACAUUUAUCAAAAUUCACCCAGCUGCACACUUAAAAUGGGCAUAUUUUAUUGUGUGUAAAUUUCUCUCAAUAACGUUGAUUUUAAAACAAGAGCUAAAAACAGCAACAACUAAAACAUGACCAUGGAGUAUGUAUUUGAGUCUUGGCAAGUGUCAGAUUUAAAAAAAUAUGCACCAAAUGGUUUAGUCAUGGUUACUCCAAGGGAAUAGAAUUUGUAGGGGAGGGAUGAGAGGAACGUGUUUUGUUUUGUUUUGUUUUGUUUACUGUAUGCCUUUCUCAUAAAUAAGUAUUGCCUUUGUAAGAAGAAGAAGAAAGAAGAAGAAGGAGGAGGAAGAAGGAAAGGAGGAGGAGGAAGACGAGGAGGAAGAAAAAGGAGGAGGAAGAGGAGGAAGGAGGAAGAGGAGGAGGAGGAAGAAGAGGAGGAGGAGGAAGAAGAGGAGGAGAGGGAAGAAGAAGAGGAGGAGGAGAGGGAAGAAUAAGAGGAGGAGGAGAAGGAAGAAGGAGGAGGAGGAGGAAGGAGAAGAAGAGGAGGAGAAGGAGGAAGAAGGAGGAGGAGGAGAAGAAGAGGAGAAGGAGGGGGAGGAGGAGGAGGCAGGAGGCAGAGGAGGAGGGGGAGGAGGAGGCAGAGGAGGAGGAGGCAGCGGCAGCAUAGUCCCAGAUAAGAUAAUGAUACACUGAGAGAAGUUGAAAGAAGUCUCCCUGGUUCUUAGUGUGCUCACACUUAUGGUAUGGGUUUAGCUGCGUGUGGUUAUGUGGUUAAAUUAACAUCAUGCUUCGGGCUUGGAAGGGGCAAGCUUCUAGAAGACUCCCCCGUGUGGAGGCUGUGGUCUCCUAAUCUGAGCUGGGCUGUGUUUGCGGAGGCACAGCUUCCCCAAGUGGAAAGUAACAGGCAGCCAACAAUUUAGCCCUGAGAAUGGCUGGGGGAAGGCUGUGGCAGCGCCAUGUAACCCUCCAGGAAGUGACAAUCUUAGGAUAAGGGCUGGUGGGUCCCUAAGGAGCUUCACUGACCGACCACCCCUUCUCUUCUGUGGAUUUUAGCGUUUCCUUUUAAAAAGCUGUCUCAUCUCAGCUGGGUUAAGGGGAACCCAGAACUUUUUUUGGUUGUCUCAUUUGUUUUGGCAUUGAAUUUCAGAGAAUAGGAGAUUGUCUUUGGUGGCCAGCCUUCGUGGUGACUGAAGGCAUAAAAAUGAGGAGCAAGGAGCCAAGGCUGCUUUCACAGACCCCCACCCCCAUCCCACUCCCAAGCAGUUCUUGUUCCCAAGAUUUUCUGUGAAAAACGGGGCGCGGGGGUGGAGGUUAGGGUAGGGACGCUUGGUUAAAAUUACAUGUGCCCAAUAUAAAACAGUAAUUUAAAGAUUAGCUUGUAGGGCAGCAUGCCUUCCCACAUGGCAAGAAGCAAGUCUGGCGGGCCUCUGUCUGUCGGGUGAUUUGGAGAAGCCCCGGCCGCGCGCCUCUGCCGGGUAAAGGCCUGGGACUGACUGACCCGUCUGUGUUCAGCCACUUCGGAAACAGAAACUUCCCAGGUGGCAUGGGAAAGAAAACACCAACCUAAUCCUGAAAGGGUAACUUUAAACCAAAGCCCAACCAAGAAAGAGAGUGGGAGAGAGACUGCCAACCAAGACAGGCCAGAAAUAAAAGUUCCAUUGUCCUUGUGGGACGGCUCACAGCCGCACCUCCUGUCCGCCUGGCCUGCGCUGCACCCCGACACCCGCGAGACCGCGUUCCAGUGGCAGGCGGCCUUCGUCCUGCGUGCUGCAGCGAGGGCUCACGCUGCAAGGAGAUGACACUGCACAUCAUGAAACAGGAAUGCAGCUAACAGCAAACCCGCCAGAAAACAUGAAUGAUGUGUCUGGGAGUGCUGGGUCCAUGGGCGGAGGGCGGGGUAAGAAAAGGAGGGGAGCGGGGGAAGGGGAAUCAUCCCAGCUCAGCUGCAGCUGAGGACAGAGACCCUGCCUUCAGGAGUGAGACAGGUCCUAGGAGAUUUUAGUGGCUGCAGGCCAAACGGAGCCACUCAGAAGGAUCUCCUCCAGCCAAAGUGCAGGCAGCCGCUCACCCUGGGGGCUGAGGCUGUCUAGGGCAGCCAUUUGCUUAAUAAAGAUCCCUUGAGGUUGGCGGGGUGACUCAUGCCUGUAAUCCCAGCACUUUCGGAGGCCAGGGCUGCAGGAGGAUGGCUUGAGGCCAGGAGUUUGAGACCAGCCUGGGCCACUCAGCUAAUUUUCUUAGUUUUUGUAGAGAGAGGGUCAGGCUACAAAAAAUAAGAAAAUUAGUUGAGUGUGAUGGCGGUGCCCGCCUGUAGUCCUAGCUACUGGGGAGGCUGAGGCAGGAGGAUUGCUUGAGUCAGGAGGUUGAGGUUACAGUGAGCUAUGAUUGUGCCACUGUACCCUAUCCUGGGCGAUACAGCAAGACUCUGUCUCAGUUUAAAAAAUGUCUUGAAAGGAUAAAAAUCCCCAAAUUAAAGGUUUUAAAAAUAAAAGAGUGGCUAGACCAUUAACAGACUGACAAAGUAGAAAGAGCCUGGGAUGCAAGGCAGGAGCCAUGGAUUUUAGUCUCUGACUCUGGAUAAGUCACCUGUCAGCUUUGGUUUUGACACCAGUUACAGUGAAUGGGUUGAGCCCAGCAUCUGCCAUCCCUUCUGGAUCUGGCCUUCCGAGAUUCUGUGAGCACAGGCCUCCUGGGUCCAGAGAAGGGGGUUUCCUCACAGACCCUUCCUUCCCUCUGGUUAUCUCAUUCUCCCCACUGCUUUUCAGAGAUCUCUGAGGUUUCGGCCAGCUGGGAAAUCACCCUGUUCUUUGACUGAAACCCACUCAAACCCAAAGCCAUAACCUAACCCCUCAAACUGGACGAAUAUAGAGGUGUGGAGCUUGGUGAGCUUGAGGAUUCUCAAUGCUGGGGAGGGAAGGUGCUGCCACCAUGGUGACAAGGGGUCUGGGCAUGCUGAAGACAGCUUAGAAGACUUUGCAGUAUCACACCUGGGUCCUCCUUCCUCACCUUCCACCAAAAGAGAAAAAAUAGAAGCUUUUCCCAAAACUUAAGAACAUUCUAAAAACUGGCCCUUCUUUACAGAUGGGCUGCAUCCCCAGAGGACUGUUUAAUCCAGGUGUGAUUAUGUAUGUGUUAGCAGUUAGUAUUGGCUAGCAGGCAAGCCAGGGAUUUGGCCUCAGAUUUGGCUGUAACUAGCUCUGUAGCCUUGGUAGAACCAUGGCUCCUCUCAAUGUCUUAGUUUCCACAUCUGUAAAGCAAAAGGCUGGAUGAGAUGCUCUCUGACAGACUUUGAAGACAUUCUCUGAUAAGUGUGAGCUAUCCUUCGUGCACCCUGUUCUGCCAAUCUCUCCUGUUUUUCCAUCUUUUGUCAAGCUGUAGAGGCAGGGUUGGUGAGAAGUGAUGGUGAGCUGAUGCCUCUAGUAGAACCGCCUAGAAGCACAGCAGUGCUGGGGGAUCUCGGACGCUGGCAGUCCUUCGCUCUGAUGCAUGCCCUUUUCCAGCAGCACAGACAGGCAAAUCAGAUGGGAGGGCUGGCUUCAUGGAAGUGUGAUCUUGGAAGGGCCCCAUACUUGGUUUAAUGUUCCACUGUUGCUGUCUUGAAAUUUUAAAAAACCUUUUUAACAAGGGGCCCUGCAUUUGCAUUUUGCACUGGGCCCUGCAAAUUAUAUAGUCAGUCCCAGCAGGGGGCCUUGCCAGCUACUUGGAUCAGGAGCUAGUGGGGACAGAUCUGGCAAGGGUACAGUGCCACAGAUUCUAGCUCCCCAGACUGCAAGGCAAGAGAUCCAUGGGGUGUGUGGACGUGGCUAAAUGUAUGGACGUGCAAGCAUUUAAUAGUGAAAAUAUACUGGUAACUCUUAGGUAGGGAACUUUUUCUUAACAAAAAGCACAAAAUACAUAUAUCAAAUGUGGGCCGGCGCACAUGUGUAUGUGAACCCAAACACACACACACACACACACACACACACACACACACACACAGAUGCACACAAAAAACCUUAAAAUGGCCAGAGACUUUGAGCAAUUUAAGAUCAAUAGUGAACCAAGGCUGGGUGUGGUAGCUCUCACCUGUAAUCUUGGUGCUUUGGGAGCUGAGAUGGAAGGAUUACUUGAGGCUGGGAGUUCAAGACCAGCUUGGGCAACACAGCAAGACCCCCAUCUCCACAAAAAAUUUUUAAAAAUUAGCUGGACAUGGUGGUGCACAACUAUAGUCCUAUCUACUUGGGAGGCUGAGGCAGAAGGAUCCCUUGAGCCCAGGAGUUCAAGGUUGCAGUGAGCUAUAAUCAUGCCACUACACUCUAGCCUGGGUGACAGAGCAUAACUGUCUCUAAAAAUAAAGAGUGAACUAAAUGUCAACUUACAUAUGUUUCAAAACUGAGCAAAUUUCCUAAAUCAAUUCAUUGGAAGACCCUAAUAAGAUAUUCCAACUUUGAAAACUUUACAGAGGUGACUUUUAAACAGAAUAUGAUGGAGAAUCAGGGCAUACCUCUGAGUCAGGAUGGUCACUUGGGCAGGAGUUUAUGCCUUGUCCAUGAUCUGAUCAGAGAGUUUACAUGUUCAUUACUAUCACUGUCUUUCCAAGGAGAUACAUGCUACCUCUAAUAUCUGGAUAUUCUCAGAUACUUAAUAAAAAUUUAGUUGUAUUCAUCUUUGUGUCUUCACAGAAAUAUUUGUGUCUUUCACAGAGAUGCCAGUGUGACCAGCAUAGACUUUGUUAAAUAAAUAUUUGCUUAUUUAAUGAAUACUCAUUCACGAGUAGACAGGAUUUUUUCUUACUAACUAUAACACAUCUAAUUAAGGAGGAUGAACAUAUAUUUAGCUAUGCAAGAAUAUCAUGGAUUCAUAGAACAUUAGACAACAAAGUAACCCUUGGCUAUUAUCUGGUCCAACCCUCUCAUUUGAUAGAUUAGAAAACUGAGGCUCAAAGAGUCUAAAUAAGUUAUUUGAGGUCACAUAGCUAAUCUGUACCAGAACCCAGCUCUUCUGACAUCUAACCCAAGUGAAAUUUUCCACUAAACCACUCUCCCUUAAGAAUCGGGAAGCUUAAAUAAAGAAUUGGAGGUGUUUACUCAGCACAUAUAUAGUCUUCCUAACCCUUCAUUAUGGAGGGAGAAGAACUCAACUGUUUUAAUUGCCACCUGCAAAAGUACUUCGUGAUCCACUACAGUUACAUUUGUGGCGAGACCCUGUGAAAGACAAUUUGAGAUCUAAGGCAAAAUGAGAAGGAAAGAAGAUCUAAUAAAAGCUUUUUAUUUGCAGAUUGGAAUUAAGUGCUCUGUGCCCAGGCCUUUGGCUUUAUAAUGACUUCAGGGUUGCCACUUUAAUGCUUCAGCGAGCAGAAAAUUGGAGAGCAAAAACGACAAUCAGUCAGCCCUGCCAAGCAACACCCCCUCAAACCUAGCAAAAUGUAAUACUUUGCUUGCUCAGAACAACUCUAAAACCAUCUCAGCUCCAUUCAUACCACAGGUUUUGAGGAAGCUGCAAUACAGUGAUUUUGUGUCACCAGACCAUCUGCCCUUCUGAGUGAUUUUUUUCAAAGCUGAAUUUCUAAUAAGUAUUCCAAGUCCAAGGUGGCCAGUCAGAUGCAGCCUCUACAGCCCACACAACAAACUGCUGGGCAGGACCUGCAACAGGUCAAUGUUUUCCAGGAGGGUGGAGCAGUGACCAGACACCAUUAAGACUCAGCCAGGAAAUUAGUGAGGUGCAAAUUACAUGGUGGUGGCUGCAGGGCAAAAGGAAAAUUGCAGGCCAUUGCCUGAAGAGAGAGAGAAAUAGCAGAGUGGUAUUUUGGGGCCUGGAGACAGUGAGCCACUGGACAUGUUCAUCAUUGCCUUAAAAAAAAACAGCAGCAACAACUUUUUUUUGCAGUACGGUACACAAACAGAAAAGUACACAAAUCAUAAAGGCUCAAGGAACUUUUAUUGGAACAUAUCCAUUACCCUACGCCCAGAUCAAGAAAGAGAGUACCCCUUUGUGUCCCCUUCCUGUCACCCCCAGCCCAGGGGGAAUAGCUAUUCUGAUGCGUCCUUGUCUUUUUGAUGUAAGCCAAGUGGCAACCAAGGAGGAGACAAAGUUUUGAAGUUUAUCCAGGUUAUCCCCAUAGGUCAGUUGCUGAAGCCUGGGCCCGGUGGCCUGCUGGGUCCUACCUAGCUCGGUAGCUCCUCUGGUGCAAGUGGAUCUUGACAGGGUCAGAUUGGGAGAGGAGGAGUGGGCAGCCCCUUGAAGAGAGGAGGAGGGGAGAAAGACACAACACCAUGCACUGGCUCUGUCCCCCUCCUGUCCUGCUGCAGAGCUGGUUUCUGCCCUGAAGAAGGCUAGCAGAGAUAAGACAGCAAAGUCCCCUCGUAGUGUCAAGGUUGUUGGUCAUAGUUGACAGCGUUGGGCUGUUCACAUAGGGUUCUUCUGUUUCUUUUUUGGUGUUUUUGUGGGUUUUCUCUCAUUGUAGGCUCUCUGAGUUUCCUUAUAGUGGUCAACCAUUCUGGGGGAGGAGUAUAGGUUGUUUUGCUCCAUGGGUUUCCUGUUAGGCAACAAAGUCAGGCCUCGAAGGCUUGGCAGCUUCGACACUGAUUUUUGUGGCCACGAGUCGUGGCUGGUAUUGCUCAGUUUGCCACCUGGCUGCAGUGGCCUAUUUUACCCUCGAGUUAGCCACUGUUUCUGAGAAUAAUCAAGCAGGUUUUAAAUAGGCUGCAUAUUCUGGCUCAGAGUUUGGACAUGGCUUCUCUCUGGUAUAUAGUGCUGGUAGAUGUCUGUACCUAUAGGGGAGAAUCCCACUUUGGGCAUCAAAAAUAACAGCCAAAUUCUUUUUAUGUUUUCUGUGGGGGUGGUGAAGAGAUGCUUACUGUCUCAGGGGAGAUGAUCCGGCCCAGUUAUAACUGCAUCCUUGGCUUGCUGAAAGGAGUUUCAUUGUCUCUCUUGGCUCACCUCCAUUUACUUCUCAACCCACUGCAUUUCAGCUUCCCUGGCCCCACCAUGCUCCUCUAAGGCCACCCAAGACUUCCUGGACGUCAAGUCCAAUGAAGACUUUUCAGUCGUAAUCUUAAAUCAGCCUCUUGGUGGCAUUAGCACUGUUGACCUCUCUGACCACCAUGGCUUCUCUCUUGGCUGCCAGGAGAGCAGCCCAGGCUUUUCUCUGGCAUCUCAAGUUCGUCCACUUCAGUCUCUUUCAGAAUCCCUCCCACUUCUUCUUGCCUCACUAGUAUUGGGCUUUCCUAAGGUUCAGUCCUCAGCUCUCUCUGACUCUACCCUUUCCCUAGGCAAUCACAUGCACACUGAUGGCUUCAGCCUCACAGCUGGAACCACAGCCAGACUUGUCUUCUUAGAGCUCUAGCCUGGCCACUGGCCUCUCCAUGGCCUUUCUAUAGCAUUUAAAGCAAUUUCUCUCAACCCCAGCUGCAUAUUAGAAUCAUGGCAGCUUAAAAAAAAUCCAUGUGUGGGCUUUACCACCAGAGCUGUUGAUUUAAUUGAUCUGGAUAGGACCUGGACAUGGUUAUUUUGAAAUCUCCCUGGCUAAUUCUAAUGAACAGCUGGAAAUUAGGACACUGAGGCACAAGACACAUAUAUGUAGAGAGCUAAAGUGCUUUGGACAAGAAUGCCUUUACAAGCCCACACUGGGCCCUUCUUCAGGAUAAUGAAUCAUGACUCUAGCCCUUAUACUUUUAAAGCCCUUUGGAGGCAUUACCUAGGAAUCAGGAUGGAUGAAAAACAAACAAACAAACAAAAAAACACAAGACUUUGAGAAAAGUCUCUGAUUCAGAAGACUAGUUCUCCAUCCGCCAACUCCCUUCCCACAGACAAAAUUUGCCCUGACCUUGCUUAAAUUCUGCAGCUUAUUUAGGGUGUUUUUAAGGCUUUAAGCUGCCUGCCCUGUUCUGUCCAGUGCCCUACUUCUCUGAAUGCCCCGAGGUUCUCCAACCACAGAAUGACCUAUAAGACCUGAACAGAUGGGUUGAGAGGAGACACGUUACCAGGAGUAGAAGUAGAAUCUACUAGGGGAAUUUGAAUAACUUGGAGCCUAAGUUUCCCUAAUUGUCAAAAUGGAACUAGCAAGUCCUUCUUUUAGAGAAGAUCUGAAAAGCAAUUGAAAUCAUGAAGAUGCUAAACUAUUGUCAUUUGUAUUUCCAACUUGAAUCCAGACUUAAGUUUAUUCACACCAGGGCCAGAAAUAACCAUAAAUGUAUGAGCAGCAAGUAACCUUAGAGAUAAUACUAUCCAACCACUUUAUUUUACAGGAGAGAAAACAGGCUCAGAGAUUAUGACUUGCUCAAGGUGAUGCUGCCAGCCAAUGGCUCAGCUAGGAUAGGUUUUCGAUUUCCUGACUCCUAGUCCAGUGCUCAUUUCACCACUCCAGGCUUCCUAAGGGGUGAUUCUUCAUCCAUGUGGCUGGGCUUGAGUCAUCACAUGCCACCUUUUCAAGUAAUAGACACCCAGACAGGGCACUCUGGAGUGCAGGGUCAUCUGGGAACCUAACCUACUUUUUCCCAAAGAAAACCAAAGCUAUUACUUUCCCUUUCUUCCCAUCCUGCCUCCCUCUGUACUCAAGACCCUGAAUAUAGCUCUCUGCCUGAAGCUGUGAAACUUCAGAAGCCUUCCUACCUCUUCCUGCUGUGACCUUAGGUUGUCUCUCCAGCACAGUAAACUCCUGGGGGUGAAAGUUAGAAGGGGACUCAGCCCAGACAGGCUGGAUGUCUGCUGUGUCACGCCAGAUUAACCUGUGCUAGUCUCUGGGCUGACUCGGACCAAAUACAGGUCCUCUCUAAGCCUUGGCUUUUCUUACUGAUGAAAUAGGCAUCGUAAUGGUAUCUGCUAUGUGGAGGAGUUGUGAGGAUUAAGAUAAUUUCCCCAAGGCAGAAGUCCUCAAGCAUGGUUGCACAUUGGAAUUCCUUGGGAAGCUUUAAAAAAAAUGAUGCUUUGGUCCUACUCCUAGAAAUGAUGAUUUAAUUGCUCUGGGCAUCAGAUUUUUAAAAUUCCCCAAACAAUCCCCAUGUGCAGCCAAGAUGGAAAACACAGCUCAUCUGUGAAGGGCCCAGCACAGCACUGGACAAGUGGUUGGCACUCAAGUGCUUCUCAUUUGAGUAUAGUAAUGAUUCAAAGCUCCCUGCCCAACUAGAACUUAGCCUUCUAAUGGGCCUUCUGCCUUUCCGAUUUUCUGCGAAGGACCUUCCUCCCCCUCCAUCUUCCCAGUUCUACCCACAGCUCCCACCCCGAGUUUUUCUGAAACACUGGCCUCCCAAAGGUCAGUGGAAGAAGUAAAAGGGGUCCAGACAUCAGGUGACUGCCCGCAGACCCAUUCCAGUGGACACUCAGGCACCUACUGGUUGUGUCUAUUGAGACUGUUUACCCUCUUGGUGCCUUCCUCCUAUAAAAUGGGAGGAACUGGCAUGUGUUACUCCCCUAGAAGUAAUGGGCGCUAUGCUAAGCCAUUAGAACAGGAUGUCUUCUCCAAGUAGGGUGAUCACACUGCCUUGCCAGUUAUUAACGGUGAGGAGAAAAUGAGAUAAAGCCGGUGCAUAGAGCUUGGGCCAGCCCGCAGGCGGCGCCAUUCAGUGGGAGCAGUGGUCUCACUGCUAGGUCUGGCAGAUCUGCAAGUCCCUACGGGGCUACCUUGUGGAGCUGGAGGAGGCCCCGCAGGUGGAGGCGACCCUCCCUGCUGGUCUGGACAACACUUCGAAGGCACUACCUCGAAACCGCCCCCUCUUGGCCAAUUUCCGGGACCUUUCUCCACUCCGCCCACCGCUCAGCUCCGUUCUGACCUGAGUUGAAACUCGCCGCGCAAGGGAAGCGUGUACCUGGGGAGUACACUGGGGAGUGGUACUGGGGCGCUGACCCGCGCGGACGCCGCGCAUCUCCCUAGGGUGCGCGCAGCACGUCCACGAGAAGCGCACUCUGAAGCCAGCCGGGACGCGUUCGGCGGUCGGGGUGGAGGAGGGAAGUGCAGGCUGAGCCCCUCACCCGUGCGAAGCCAGCUGGGCGCCCACUCGCGGGCUGCGGGCACUGCGCGCCUGUCCAGCUGCUGGGCCAGGCCCCCUCCCCUCCCCCUCAAUCUGGCAGGCCAGAUCUCCGAGGCCCCGCGCCUCGUCGCGCUCCGGAGGCUCCGGGCGGUCUCCUGGGAGCCUGGGAGCCCGCCCCUCCUGAAUGUUCCCUCUGACGUAUCUGCAAAAGCAAACACUGGGCCUAGGCCGCGGGGGACCGGGCGUUGGAGGAAACAGCUCAAUGCCCGGCGGGCCACGCCACUAACAGCCCUGACUCCCGGGCGCUGCAUUCGCUCCACGCCUCUGGUUCUUUGCCCGACGGCGCUGUGGGCCCCGAGGGCGACUCGCCGCCCUUCCACAUUGCGCGCGGGUGGCUCCUUGAGUACCGGCGGCGCACCACAAUCCCUACUCUCAAGAUAUGGGCUCCAGUCCCGGCUCCUUGGAGUCCUCCCUGGAACCUCGGAUAAGCCCCAACUUCUCCCAGCCCGUCACUUCCUUUGGUGGUAUAGUGUGUCAAGAUAUCACAAGUCUGGAUUCCAAUCCAUCCCUGGCCAGUUAUGGCCACGUGACCUAAGACAGAUUAGAUCAUCUCUGUGUGCUUCAGUUCCUCUUCUGUAAAAUGGGGAUAAUAUUCCUCCCUAUAUGGCGAUGUUGUAAGGCAUAAAUGAAUGUAAAACACCAUAGUGCUAGGCAUAUAAUAAAUAUCGUAUAAGUAUUUUAUAUUAUCAAUAAAGUAGGUAUUACAAUGUUUACCUUACAGCUUUUUAUUUUAUUUUUUUUAAUAGUAGAGACGGGGUUUCACCAUAUUGGUUAAGCUGGUCUGAAGCUCCUGACCUCAAAUGAUCCGCCUCGGCCUCCCAAAGUGCUGGAAUUACAGGCUUGAGCCACCAUGCCCAGCCAACCCUAUAGCUUUGCUUGUUCAUCCUGGGAAGGAACUGUGCAAGUUGGCGCUUCGGGCUUGGUAUAAAAACGGCUCCUGAAUUCCUGCCCAGUUGUAAUUUCCUUGGGGAUUUUGAGAGGGGCUCUUCAACGUUGCCAGGCUAUCACGGCCCUUUUGUUUGCAAGAGAGCAGUGAGUAAAUUAUAUCUUGGGCUUAGCAAAGCAAAAAAUAAACACGAUGACAGUAGGACUUUUCGGAUGAGCUAUUUCAUUUCUCCUUUGUAUUUUUUUCUUGAUCGUUGAUGGUCCAUUGCAGACUAAUGCAAUGCUGAUGUCUUAAUAUUAAUGUUCGGAGCUGAAGACAGUCAUUUGCCUCGUGCUGGUGGGGCGACUGGGCAGGGUUGGGAGCGAUCAUGAGGCCCAAGUGAAGGCAAGGAAAGAUUCUUAGUGUCACUUUCUCUCCUUUCUCCCAACACCUCAUGUCUGAGUUCCUGGACAAAACAUCUUCCAGAUUGCGGGUGAAUUUAAACAUCGCAGCUUCUUCUUUCAAUCAUAAUUUUCUGCUUGAGCCAAAAGCUGGAGUGUCCUCUUGCACCUGGAUUCCCCUCUGCCGCGGUUGAAAUGGGAGCGUGUAACUCUUUAUAUGUGAGACGUUUAUGGGCCAGACACUGGCAUUCCAACCCCCUCACCCAGGGCACUUGCUAUAAAAUAUUGAAGGCGAGCAGAGGCUAUCCUUGGAGGGAAUGCUGGUGAUGCCAGGCUCAUAAAAACCAGCCUUUUAAAAAUGAGUCCCUAAUCAGGAAUUGCACGCCCUCUCCCUCUCCAGUGCGCUCUGGCCUGGCAAAGCCCACUUGGGAAAGUAGGUGCUACUGAAAAGAGUCACUAGCCUCUACCUGUGGGACUUCUGUCUCCAGGGUGCUUCCAAAAUCUUUCGGGACUCUGUGUUCAGGACUAGAACUCUUCAUCCACGGGGCUCCAGUGCAACCCCCUCCAACCCCCAUCAGGAUCUGAAGGCAAGGAGGACCAGCGUCCAGGACCCGGUUUCUGCGCCCCCAGGCUCUGUAGAAGUUCUGGGAAGAAGUUCUCAUGGAAGCUGAGGGGAGGGAGACGCACGUCGGCGAACUCUGGGCCUAGCCAAGUUUCUAUAUUUUGAAGGGAGAACCAUGUACCUGCCCUUGGCCUCACCUGAAGACAAACACAGGAGCAAAAUUAAGCAGCGGAGCAACUUUCUGGAAAGGAGCUUAGGGAGAGAAAGCUGGUGCGAAACCGAGUGCGCGCUAGGCGUGUGCACCCGGGGAACAAGGCGUGCCCAGGGGUGUUCGCAGUGGCGGUGGGAUGGAUGCCCGCGCCACCUAUGCGCAGUUAUUUAUAAACUCAUUGUGGGCAUCAGGGUACCCACGACGCCGUUCGUGUCGUUCGUUCCCUUCCUCCUGGAAGGGAAGAGCAAACAAAGCAGUCCUUGGCAACGCUCAACCUCUCUGUGUCAUACAUGUGGUUUUCAGUGUAAAUGAAUUUAGUAAACGCCAAGGCAACAACCCUGUUUACUUGUUUCCGUGUAGAAAGGUUAGCUAACGAACCCGAAGCCAUCCUUCGCGCUUCUCUUUGAUUCCGUCUCAGAUUUACGGGCUUCUCCUCGGCUACACGACUCCAGCCAUCGCCCCCGCUCCCUUGGCCCAGGCAAAGAGAGCCCUAGGCUCCGAUUCCCGCCGCAGCUCAGAGCAAAGCGAUUGCAGGAUUUAUCAACCCCCCUCCCAGGACCUCGGAUUUCAUCUCUUUCUUUUCCCCCUGCAUGUUCAGUUUGUUUUUUCAAGACCUAAGCAAUUUUUAAUGUACUCUAUACUUCCCGCUUAAUCCUCAUCGUUUAUUGUAUAAUUAUAGUUUCAAAGUGAUUAUGUAAUUAAAAUCAUGUUUCGUUGCAGCAGGACUUCAAAAGGGCGGCAGACCCCCGCUCUGGCAUUAUUUUCUAGUGAUGUAAUAAUUUCCCUGUGAUAUUUAAAAUAAACACAUUAGUCCAAGAAUUCUAAACAUGUCUCAAAGUAUAUAGUAGGCUUGAUUGGCACGAGGCUGGGUUGUAAAGAAAUGGUAAAACCUAUCACUAGUUUAAUAUAUUUCUAUGCUCCCAUGCAGGGUAAAUUAUAGGAUAAUGGGGCGCAGGCGAUGGUAAGCUCUGUUUAUAUAAUCCAUUUCUUCACACGAGUUCCCAUUGCUUUCCCUUCCCUUUGCUGUAUGUGGUGGUUCUCUGAUCCCCUGACCUCAGCCAUGUGUUUUCACUUUUUCUUCUGAUCUCAAUUCCAUGACCAGCGGGGAAUAAAAUACAAAUUGAAUAGUAACCAUUCACAGGCCGCUCUUUUCAAACUGUUGUUAAAACCUCUUUGUCUUGUCUAGCGGUUGAUAGAUAAAUGUGUUGUGUUUCGCCUGACUUUUUUUUCCCCUUCUUCCUCUUUUUUUUCCCGUGGCCAAGGAAAAAAUAACCCUCCUCAGCCCAAUUAUGCUCUUUAAAAAUUAAAACCCACACCUCCUUUCAAACCCUCUCCUGCGCGUCCCGCUCUCCCCGGUCUGCCCAUUGGUUCGGCGGCUGUAGGAGACGCGGAGGAUUCCACCACGUGAAAUAAAGAAGCGGCGGGAGCCGAGCACGGCUGGGGGAAGGCGCGGUGCCCCCGUGUGAGGUCUGCGCCAUUGUCCGGCGGCCUGAAGGUUCAUUUAACAUCGAACCUGUAUCGCCUCUGAUGUCCUAGCGCAGCGCCGAGAAUCGGCUCCGAGGGCUGGGGCCGCCCCUCCUAGGAAUCGAAGGGGGCAGGGGGUGAGGAAGCCUGGGAGAGGAAAGUUAAAAUGAAAAAUAAAUCUCCUCCGUUGCCCGCCUUUUUCUUUUCAUAUCCAGACUUGCCUUCGGGGCAAGGUGGACAAGAGGCCGAGCUGUUUUACAGUUUUUCUCCAAAAUGAGAAACAUAAUGGCUCCUGAUUUCUGGAUCUUGCCUUUCCCAGAUCUCUCUCCUUUCUACUUCCUCGGCUUCUUCUUGGGAACGUAAAGGCAGAAAAAACUAAUUGUAGAAACUCCUAUCCCGCGGCCCGCCCUCCUUUUCAUCAGAGCUUCUUCGGGGUCAACGGCGCGGCAGCGUCUUUGUUACUCCACUGCCAACGCCCGAGGGCUAGAGGGGCGGGAUGGGAACUUCUCCUGCGGGCUCGGGACCCACUGUUUCUGCCUCUCCAACGGCUUGGCUGUGUGAAAGCGAGCGAAGGUGUCAUUCCCGGGAGGGAGAAGCGUCGCCGCAGGGUGACUGGGAAGCCCUUUCCUUGGGCGCGCGGAGCCCAGGGCGCACGGCUGUGCCGCCCGGGUUUGCCCUCGGAGCGCCGGCGGGCCGGGCGGGGGCGCCUAGCGGUGGCAGCCGGGAGCUCGCGGCCGCCAGGGCCACCAGGCUGCUCGCCUCGUCCGGGUAGGGUUUCCUCGGCGGCGCAAACCCCCCGAAAUCCUCGAGGCCGCUUGACAGCGCUCUUCGCCAUCGGCCCGCGUACCUGUAAACUGAGCCCCGCUCACAUGCUUCACAUUAAACCUCCGUGCCCGGUGCCUUUUCUCUUUUUUUCCUCCCAAAGAGUUCUUAUAAACUUCCCUUCGUUUAUGUAGCCUGGUUUUCAUUGCUCCGGUUUUGCAUGGGUUGCCUUUGUUUAGUUUAUUAACCCACGGGGUUACUUUAACUAAACAUUUGGGCUGAAUACUUUGGGGUCGG